rnacentral:rRNA from 1 species
UACGGGGGGGGCAAGCGUUGUUCGGAAUUACUGGGCGUAAAGGGCUCGUAGGCGGCCAACUAAGUCAGACGUGAAAUCCCUCGGCUUAACCGGGGAACUGCGUCUGAUACUGGAUGGCUCGAGUUUGGGAGAGGGAUGCGGAAUUCCAGGUGUAGCGGUGAAAUGCGUAGAUAUCUGGAGGAACACCGGUGGCGAAGGCAAUCCCCUGGGCCUGCACUGACGCUCAUGCACGAAAGCGUGGGGAGCAAACAGG